CUGAUGAGUUACACAAAAUAGAUGAUACUUGAAGGGCAAAAGAAAGUGCGAGUUCACUUUCGCCCGUGUAGGAAAGAAAACUACAAUUCCCAUGAUACCUUGGUUCGGGCGGCAGGGGCUGUCUCUUUUCUAGCUCUGAGUGACGCCCUCGUAGUAACACGUGUCUCCGAGCAAAUCGGCCACUUCUUCGGGUGGAGGUCCGAGUUAGUAGGGGAUUCAGGGUUAGUAGGCGACUUCGGAGAGGAACCUUGGUUGUAAAGUGCACUCCGAGACGCUUCCGCCUUUUUAACUGUUUGUGAACCGUGAAGCGCUGCACUCCUGCAACGUGGAGUCAAUGCCAUUCUUUCUAGUACUAAGAGACGGUAUUCACCGCCCCCAGCAUUGGUUCCCCUGGUCACACCUUUAAAAAAAGAAGUGUUUAAUUAUGAGGUUGGACCUGUAACCCAGUUGGUAAAGUGCUUGCUUACCGCAUAGUAGGCGCUGGGUUCAUUCCUCAAUUCCACCACGUAAGCAUCCUAGCACCGAGAAGGUGGUGGCAGGAAAAUAAGGAGUUCAAGUUCAUCCUUAGCAACAUGGAACAUUCAAAGACAGCUUGAGCUUCUUAAGACCUUGUCGCAGUCAAAAACAAACAAAAAAACACUGACACAACACCUACAGAAAGCAAAAUAGUCAUUAAAAAAAUUUAAAAGGCAAUUUUUAGAUAGCUUUGUCGGAAACUAAAGGCUUGUUCAAAAGUGAAAAGCCCAAGAAGUCAGCACCGGGACUGAAGAGAUGGCCCAGCAGGGCGAAGAUACAAAGUUAGAAAAUGGGACCCAGACGCUGCAAGACAACUUUUACAUGCAAUGAAGGUGUUGACGCUGUGUAAGCAAUGCUAUGGGGAAACAGAGGAGAACACAGCUGGCUGCCCAGGGAGUGAAAAAACUUCACAGAGGGGGACAACUGAAUGAACCCUGAACAAAUAAGUAGUCAGUCAGAAAAAGAAAAUCCACCAUUAUACCAACAAAAAGCAUUAACUGGCAACUCACAGAACACAAGGGCCAAAAGAUCAUGGAGCAUGUAUGGGAAGAGGUGUUCAGCAUCAAUGGCAAUCAGAAAAGUGAAAUUAAAUGCAGUGCAUGGAAAUACAAACUGAAAAUAUGUUUUUGCACAAGCUAUUUCAAAAUAUGUAUCUAAAUGAUAA